rnacentral:rRNA from 1 species
AUUGAACGCUGGCGGCAGGCCUAACACAUGCAAGUCGAGCGGAUGAAGGGAGCUUGCUCCUGUAUUCAGCGGCGGACGGGUGAGUAAUGCCUAGGAAUCUGCCUUGUAUUUGGGGAUAACGUCCGGAAACGGGCGCUAAUACCGCAUACGUCCUUAUGGAGAAAGUGGGGGAUCUUCGGACCUCACGCUAUCAGAUGAGCCUAGGUCGUAUUAGCUAGUUGGUGGGGUAAAGGCCUACCAAGGCGACGAUCCGUAACUGGUCUGAGAGGAUGAUCAGUCACACUGGAACUGAGACACGGUCCAGACUCCUACGGGAGGCAGCAGUGGGGAAUCUUGGACAAUGGGCGAAAGCCUGAUCCAGCAAUGCCGCGUGUGUGAAGAAGGUCUUCGGAUUGUAAAGCACUUUAAGUUGGGAGGAAGGGCAGUAAGUUAAUACAUUGCUGUUUUGACGUUACCAACAGAAUAAGCACCGGCUAACUUCGUG